GGUGAACGCUGGCGGUGCGCCUAAUACAUGCAAGUCGAACGUGAUCAUGCGAAAGUUUACUUUUGCAUGUGAAAGUGGCGGACGAGCGAGUAACACGUAAGCAUCUGCCCCGUACUCAGGGAUAACGGCUCGAAAGAGUCGCUAAUACCGGAUAGUCUCUUCGGAGUAAAGAUUUAUCGGUACGGGAGGAGCUUGCGGCCUAUCAGUUUGUUGGUGAGGUAAAGGCUCACCAAGACUAUGACGGGUAGCUGGUGUGAGAGCAUGACCAGCCGCGAUGGAACUGAGACACGGUCCAUACUCCUACGGGAGGCAGCAGUAAGGAAUCUUCCGCAAUGGACGAAAGUCUGACGGAGCGACACCGCGUGGUGGAUGAAGGCCCAUGGGUCGUAAACACCUUUUCUAGGGGAAGAAGAUCUGACGGUACCCUAGGAAUAAGCCCCGGCUAAUUACG
rnacentral:rRNA from 1 species